AGACCCUGCGGCUGCGGCUUCGCCUUGGGGUCGGGGCCAGGCCGAGUUAACAGGGAUAAGCUGUGAUCUUUCUUUCUGUCUCUUUUUUUAACCCCUUCCCUCCUCGCCGCUUCAGUUUCUGCCGCCUUUGGGAUGCUGAUAAAUCCCCUCCACA